AGCGAACGCUGGCGGCAGGCCUAACACAUGCAAGUCGAACGAACUCUUCGGAGUUAGUGGCGGACGGGUGAGUAACACGUGGGAACGUGCCUUUUGGUUCGGAAUACCUCAGGGAAACUUGUCCUCAUACCAAUGGGGCCCUUCGGGGGAAAGAUUUAUCGCCAUUAGAGCGGCCCGCGUCUGAUUAGCUGGUUGGUGAGGGACCGGCGCACCAAGGCGACGUUCAUUAGCUGGUCUGAGAGGAUGACCAGCCACACUGGGACUGAGACACGGCCCAGACUCCUACGGGAGGCAGCAGUGGGGAAUCUUGCGCAAUGGGCGAAAGCCUGACGCAGCCAUGCCGCGUGAAUGAUGAAGGUCUUAGGAUUGUAAAAUUCUUUCACCGGGGACGAUAAUGACGGUACCCGGAGAAGAAGCCCCGGCUAACUUCGUG
rnacentral:rRNA from 1 species